rnacentral:lncRNA from 1 species
CAUUUUUCACGCAGGUUAUCCGCGGCAUGUGCAUUUGCAUUUUUAUCAAAAUAGUCCAUCGAUUUAUUGUAUGUCGUUUAUUGGCCAAACCUGACGUGUGAAGUAAUGGAUGGACUAUAUUACUCAGACACCGCAGUGUGCUGUAAAGCCGCUCCUCUGCGCUCUUCAGCUUGUCUUCAAACACACACACACAAAGAAUAUGGAAUAUUUGAUCAGCGUUUAUGAAAGCUGUAUAAUGAAUGAGCUCUCUGUGGUGUGAUUGCAGCAUUGUUUCCUCAAAGCCAUGCCCAGCGCCGGACGAUUUUCUCUCAUCUUGCAGGAGGUGAGCGAACUUGCACGCCUCUCUUCAUCAAACCCAC